GUCAUCUCACCGCGACCGCCUCUGUCUCCAUGGAGACGCGGCGCCCCGGAGCCCUCCCGAGCUCCAUAGAACAGCGGGAGGGGUCCGGGAACGGCGGCUCCGUAGAGCGGAGGGAGGGGGUCGGGAACGGCGGCUCCGUAGAGCGGAGGGAGGGGGUCGGGAAAGGCGGCUCCGUAGAGCGGAGGGAGGGGGCCGGGAACGGCGGCUCCGUAGAGCGGAGGGAGGGGUCGGGAACGGCGGCUCCGUAGAGCGGAGGGAGGGGGCCGAGAAUGGUGCAGGCAGGUGCGGUAACCGAGCACCCCCCCCCCCGCAGCCCGUGUGCCCCUGUCCUAUUGCGGCUGAGCUCGGCUGAGCGCAUCCCUAUGGAGCAUCCCGGAGCCAUGGAUGUGCCAUGGAUGUGCCAUGGAUGUGCCAUGGACACGGGGCUGAAGAGCUGCGGGAACAGGGAUGGGAGGAGCUGAUCCCAGCGCUGCCGGUGCCGGAUGACACCAUCCAAGUGCGAACUCAUCCCAAGUAACUCCAGGCUCUGUUCCCUUCUCCAGCCGGGAUAACAUGGAGCCGAUUCAUGGCUCCGACCUCGGGCUCCUGACUGGAAGCAAAGCCGUUCAGAGGAUCCUGUGCCCUAUGGCUGCCCAGCUCUGCCACCUCAUCCUGGCCCUGGAAGGGGAGCAUGGGAUCUGUCCCGAUAUAGGGCAGGAGGCAGAAGCGUUGGCUCAAGCCACAGAGGAACUCGCUGCUGCUGCAAUGAGGCUGGCUGAGGAUGCUGGAGAUGAGCUCCUGGAGGAGACACAUCCUGCGGCCGAGGCGCUGGUGCUGGCGGGCAGGAAGGUGGUGCUGGCAGCCGGCAGGGUCCGGGCACAGCCACACAGCCCUGGCCACAGGGAGGAGCUGACAGCGGCUGCACGGGGGGUACUGAUGGAGACAGCGAAGAUCCUGCGGUUGGGAGAUGCUGCUGGGACAAGGAGCAUCCUGCAGGCUGCCCACUGCCUUCUGGAGUGCCUGAACAUGCUGCAGGGCACAGGGGAUGCACCAGGAGCACCGGAUCCUUCCCAAGCCUUGUCCGAUGCUGUGCUGGUGCUGAGCAGCCUGACAGCACAGCGCAUAGAGGGAAUGGGUGAGUGUCCUCGACGGCAGAGCCUGGCCCGAGCCCUGCAGCUCCUGCAGCAGCAGCUCCCGAUGCUCCAUGCGGCCAUGGACAGGGAUAUCAGAUGCUCCCGGGAUCAGGAACUCGGAUGCUCCCAGGAUCAGGAACUCAGCCUCUCCAAGGAUAACACCUUCCGGAUGAUGGAGAACACCAUCACGGAGCUCACAUCCCUGCUCAUGGAUGGUACCCAUAGUGAGGAGCCUCAGGACACAAGCGGGACCUUCACCCAUCACAUACACAGGCUGCAGGCUCUGCUGUCUGCCCCGGACCCCCUGCUGCUGUCUGACAACACCCUCAGUGCUCACCUGGGAGCUGUUGUUCUCCAUUGCAUGCUCCUGGCAGAGGCAUCGAGGCCGGAGCAGAGGCUGGAGCUGGUCCAGCACUGCCAGGCUCUGCUGCGGCUCUGGAACAGCAUCUGCAGCCCAGGGGGGCACCAGGAGGGGCAGUGCCACAGCAUGAGGCAGGAGGUGCAGAGCCUGCAGCAGGCAGUGCUCACAGCCACACUGUGCCAGCUCCUGGAUGCCUGUGCCGAGGAUGAGGAUCCCCUCCGGGUGCUGGUUGAAGGUGCCCUCAGCCUCGCUGCCUCCGGUGCCUGCCCUGCAGGGCCAGGGGGGUUCCUACAGCAGCUGCACCCCCUCAUUGCUGCUGUCCUCAGGCAGGGCAUGGGGCUGCUCAGAGGGGCAGAGCUGCUCCUGGCGCUGUGCACUGAGCCCCACACUGCUGCUGAGGUCCUGGAGCUGCGGCAGCACAUGGGGACGCUCCUGGCGCGCAUCCCUGCCCUGCUCAUCACCAUGGGCACCAAUGGGGCUGGGGCAGGUGGUGCUGAGCAGCUGCAGUCCCUGCACCAGGCCUGGGCUGCAGCAGUGCAGAGCCUCCUGUGGUGCUGUGCGGACACCACCGGCACACGUCGGUUCCUCACGGUGGCCAUGCAGGAGAUGGGCAAGCACCAGGAAUGCUGCCAACGGGCCCUGGGGAGCCAGGACCCCGAGGGGUUCUCAUGGCACAUCACCCACCUCAGCCGCUGGGCACGGUGGGUGGUGGGAGCCAGCACCAGGUAUGUGGAUGGAGCCACCGAUCCCAUCUUCAGGAAUGGUUUGCUGGUCUGGAUCCAGCAGCUGUCGAGCUCUAUCCCGGAGCUGGAAGCGGCUGCAGUGCUCUGUGCACAGAGCAUCUCCUGCCUCCGGAGCAGGGAUGUGUUUUCCAAGGCACUGAGCUCCCUGAUGGAUGCUGCUCAGCGUGUGCAGGACGGGCUGGAUGGGUCCAACCACCCCGACCUCCUCAGCCCCCUGCGGGAACACGUGCGAGGAGUGGAUGUGACAGAGGGGGUUGAGCUCAGCCCAUCUCCUGCGGGGCUAAAACCCACUAUGGACUCAGCUGUGCUGCUGCAGGAACACUCCUUCCCUGCUCCAUCUUCACCUGCAGGGUGCUCCGCACCAAGGGAUGGAUCCUUACACCCGGUGAUCACAGCUCUGCUGGCAGCAGCAGCAGCCCAGGACACAGCCUCACUCCAUGCUGCAUGCUCAGCCUUGCUCCAGCUCACCCAUGGCUUUGUGUGUGCAGCAAAGGAAGCACUGCCCCUCUCCGAGCAUCCCCAUAGGGACAGCCUGGAGCAGGCUCCAGCUAUGGAGCUGCUGACCACACAUGUACUGAGCCUGGCCAGAGCUGCAGCCCCACAGCAGUGCCCCUGCCCCACUGACCUGCUCCAUGCAGCACGCAGGCUCUCAGACAGGCUCUGUGACACCAUGGAGGGCCUGGCAGCCGUGGCAGGGCCCUGGUAUGUGCUGUCCCAGCAGGUCCUUGCCUUCACCGUGGCCGCUGACCCCCUGAGGGGCAGGCAGGCUGUGGCUGACACCAUGGUGGGUAUAGCAGCAGCGGUCCGGUUCGUGGCACACACCAUGGGAAGCUCCAUUUGCCCCCAUGAGGGUUGGCAGAGCUUCCUGCAGGUGCAGAGCACGUUUGCCCGUGCUCAGGUGAGCACCAACGCGUUGCUGGAGGAGGCAGCAUCCUCAGAGGGCUCCGUGCUGGGCAGGGCCAGGCUGGAGCUGCUGUGUGUGCAAUGGGCUGUGAGCACACGUGUGCUGCUGGCGGCUCUGGACCAGUUCAUCGGCAGGGAUGUGCUGCUGGGGGAGCUGGGGAGCGCGGUGAGGAACCGGUUCUGUCCCCACAGCAUCCUGGCUGCUGUGUCUGAGCGCUCCCUAAGGCUGCAGGAGGCUGCCCGGCUCUCAUCCUGCCCUGGAUCCCAUGGGCACAGUGAGAUCCUGGUGCUCCGGGAGGAGAUCCGGGUGCUGAUGGAGGCGCUGCUGGAGGCCUCCAGCACCAUCCUGCUGUCCCCACUGCCUCACGCCAGCCUGUGCGCUCGCUGGGAGCUCCUGCAGAGGGACCUGGGCCUCAGGGUCAAGGUGCUGCUGAUCCACCUGGAGAAGGUCAAUGCUGAGCACUUGAGGGUGAUCAGAGACGUUGUUGGACCUGCAUUGAUGCCUCUGUCCCAGCAGGAGAGGGAAAGGAGCAAAGAGGCCUUUGAAGAGAAAGCAAACAGGCUAAUGGCAAAUGUACAGUGGGUCACAACCACCCUCCACCAUGUGCUGGAGGCCAACACUCAACCGGAGCUGCAGGCAAACCUGCUCUCCAUGGCAGAGCACCUCCUGCUGCUCACAUCCAAUGCCAUGGGCAGUGCCAGGCAGCUCCUUCAGAGCCCCAGGGAUGGAGAGCACCUCCACCUGGAGAGCAUCAUCUGGUGCUGGGCUGCAGGGGCACAGUACCUGCUCACACAGCUGCAGGCUGUGCAGGGCAUCGGUGGGGAUGUCCUGGAGCUCAUCAGGCAUCACCUGCAGGACACAGGGGACCGGAGCUUCCCAAGGCAACACAGCAGCACAGCCAGGCUCUUCCCAGCCCUGGAGCCUCAGAGCCACACCAGGGCAAUGGAGACCUGCCCAAGAACGAGUGGAGCUGCCACGGAGGCACCUGCAAUGCAGCCCAAGGGUCCUGCCAGCACCAGUGUGAAGCACGAGACAGAAAGCAGUGACAUGGGGCAGGGAGGCCCCAGCAGGAUGUCCCAGGUCACCAAGGACACAGCCACAAGGAUGCUCCACAUGACUCAGUUCCUCAGGAGGAAGGGCCCCAUCACAGUAAGGAGCAUGUUCCCCCCUCCACCCCAGCACCAUUCCCCCCCACAAGAGCAGGAUUAGAGCCAGUGAUGGGGCUGCUCAGCAGCCAUUGAACCCCCAUCUCCCCACACUACCCCAUGCCUGUGAGGGUGGCACCAGCUCUAUUUAUGCAAAGCACAAGACAUUACUUCCCCCAGUGAGGUGUGAGCUUGGCAUCCAGCCCUUUCCUGUUUGAGACCAUCCCUGGGCUCUGCUCUGGAGCCAGGCUGAGAGAGCUGGGCUGGGGCAGCCUGGACAAGAGAAGGGGAGAGCUGAGAGCAGCUCCAGUGCCUAAAGGGGCUGCAGGAAAGCUGGAGAGGGGCUUGGGACAAGGGAUGUAGGGACAGGCCAAGGGGAAUGGCUUGAACCUGCCAGAACAGGGGAGACUGAGCUGAGCUCUGAGGCAGAAGCUGUUCCCUGUGAGGGUGCUGAGGCGCUGGCACAGGGUGCCCAGAGAAGCUGUGGCUGCCCCAUCCCUGGCAGUGCUCAAGGCCAGGUUGGACACAGGGGCUUGGAGCAGCUGCUCCAGUGGAAGGGGUCCCUGCCCGUGGGAUGGAUGAGCUUUAAGGUCCCUUCCAAACCAUUCCAUGAUGCUGUGACCUUCCCAUCUUGCAGGAAAAGAGCCUUUUUCCUCCUUCCCCCUUUAUUUGUCUCCUGUUCCAGAGCAAGGACCAGCUGGUUGCCUGCGCGAGGCAGAUGGCUCUGCAUGGGCAGCAGUUUGUCACCUUUGGCCGUGCCCUGGCCAGGCUCUGCCUGGACACGAGGUGCUCCAUGGAGCUGCUGAGUGCCACCGAGCAGGCUCACACCAUCAGCAGCCAGCUCAGCAUCGUGGCCAGGUGAGGCACCUCUCCAAGGCCUUGGGGGCCUGGGUCGAGCAUCAGAGCUCCCCUUUGGGUUCCUGUAGACAGCCCUUUGCUCCCCUGUUCUCCCUGGAACCUGCUCUGAUAGUGCAGGGAAUGAUGUGGGUUUGGAGCAGGAGUAAUGGAGCACACGGGGGGAACGCACCGAUGCUCUUCCAUGCUUUGUAAUGUCUCUGAAGGGUAAAAGCAGUCACUGCAGAGAGCAAAUCCUCUUCUGAGCUGCUCGUGAGCAACACACAGAACCUGGUCCAGGCAGUUCUGCACAUCCUGAAGGCAGCUGAGGCAGCGUGUGUCAAAGUAAGUGCAUGCUGAUGGCACCAGAUGGGCUCUGCAAGGUGAGUCCAUGCUGGGGAGCUCUGACAGCCAUGGCUGUGAUGGGAGGUGGGAGCUGCCUGCUGUGGGACCUCUGCUUGUCCUGUGGUUGUACUUCCUGCCUCUGCCUUGUUUCCAAAGCCCAGCACGCUUCUUUCCAAGCAUCCAUAGGCUCUGUCACUGCUAACACCUCUGAAGUCCUGUUAGCACAUCUGCCUCUUCAUCUGUGGGCAGGGGAGCAGCAGGGUCUCACUGGAUGCCUGUAUCUGGAAGUGGUCCAUGUUGGUCUUAGCCUUUACACUGGCUCAAGAUGGGCUUUGAUCAACACCCCCAGGAGCUUCCUUGGGUGCCUGAUUGAUCUGACUGUACAGUCUGUGAGAGCAGCUCUGCCUGAAAGCACUCAGGACCAAGCACAAGUGCAUCCAGAGCCUCCUCUGGGGCAGUUUUCCAUCCUCUGCCCAGUUUCCUGGGUAUUCCUGCUUCUCCUGAGCCUUCUGAGUCUUUCUGGGAGAGACACAUGUUGUUAGAGCCAUUGGAUGAACAUCAGCCAGGUGACAAAGCUCCUCCUGUGCUCAAUUACUGCUAAAAGCAUCAUGUAUGUCCUUUUCUCACUGAUGUGAUCCUCAAGGAACAAGCCAUGCUUUCAUUUUGUCCUUUAAAAGCCCUUUACAACCUGGCUUUUUCCCUUUGGGAACAUCCCUAAACUGACUCUCCUGCAUUUCUUUUCUCAUUCUGGAAGCAGGUUUUUAAGCACUUUUAAGCAUUUCUAAGGCAUUAACAGGCAGAGAACCCACACUGGUCCCGCACACAUGGAUACACUCAGACUUCUCCAUCAUUUAAGGUAUUUUAAAUGAGUACAUAUACAAUACAUUAAAGCAUCCACAUAUUGUGUCUCACAGGGCCUGCGCCAGCCUCUGCCUGACACUGAGGAAGCAGCAGCAGCUGCUCUGUGCAUGCAGUGGAGAAGAAACCUGUUCCUGCACAGAGCCAAAGCAUCCUUCACCUCAGACAGGGAUGAACUGGGGCUGCGCAGGACUCGGACCACAGCUGAGCCCUCCCUGGUGGCAAUGGUGCAAGAACCACACACCAAGGACACCCCUGAGCACCCACGAGGUGUUAAAGGAGGUACAAUUAUGGGUGGCCACCUGUAGAAAGAGGAAGGGGCUUGUGCCUCCUUUUGGUGAGUGAACAGAGGAGAAUGAUGCCACAAACCAGGGCAGGCAGCCUGUGAUGUGGUACCUUCACUGUCCCAGCAGCUGCCAGUUCUGUGCUCUGCAGCACCCAAGAUGUGAACAGGAGGAGGUAGGACCACACUGGGAGCAGCAGCAGAUAUGGUUGGGGGGAAUAAGUAGGGCCAGGCCAAAGGGAAUGGCUUGAACCUGCCAGAACAGGGGAGACUGAGCUGAGCUCUGAGGCAGAAGCUGUUCCCUGGGAGGGUGCUGAGGCGCUGGCACAGGGUGCCCAGAGAAGCUGUGGCUGCCCCAUCCCUGGCAGUGCUCAAGGCCAGGCUGGACACAGGGGCUUGGAGCAGCUGCUCCAGUGGAAGGGGUCCCUGCCCGUGGCAGGGGUUGGAGCUGGAGGAGCUUUAAGGUCCCUUCAACACAAACCAGGUUGGGAUCCUAUGAAGGAUCAGGGGUUCUGUGAACAACCCAAUUACUCAUCUCCCACCCAAGAAAGCCACUGAGCUGGAAGGUCCUUCUCAGGCCCUGAUCUUUAGCACUUUAUCAACCUGUUCUGCAACCAUCCCCUUUUCUUCUCAGGGUAACAAUCCUAAAUACUGCACAGGAAGGGCAGCCAGAGAGGUAGAGCCCUGCAGCAGGCUCACACACUAAACAUGAAGUCAGGAGGGUAACAUGCACUACAGAAGCUGGAGGGAAGAUGCACUGAAUGAGAAGUGAGCCUAAGGGAGUUAAUUCAGGCAUCACCAAGAUCUGAAACACAAAACAGGAGUGCAAUUGUUCUGUUUGCAAGAAUAAAUGGAUUUCAUUUGCACUACGAAGGGUUUGUGUUGAGUCUUUUCAUCCCAGUAGGGAAAUACAAACCAGGCUUUUUGUUGUGGGGCAGCAAACCCCAGGCAGUGGCUGAGCAAUGCUCAGUCCUCCUGCAGUGCAGGAUCAGCCAAGACCAGACACCAACACCAACUCCUUCCCAUCUCCAGGGCUAGGAGUGGGGAGCAUUUUCCUGCCAAGAACUGAGACUUUCCUCCCCAAACCCCCUCAGCCCUGAGUAAGAUCCUCAAUGUAUCACUCACCUCAUAGCUAUGGGCUUCUGGAGUACCCAGGACCAACACCACAGCUGCUCCUGCUCUCCACUUCCAUGCUUCCAUAGCUCAGGGUGUGAGUUUCAAGCAUCCAAGGGGAAUGCUGCUCCAUGCCAGCACACUGCACUGCGGGAAGAGACAACACACACUGAAUCCAUCAGCAGAUCCGAUGUGACCUGCUCGGUGGCUGGAGCAGGACUGUCCCCACCGACAGCUCCAGCAUCUUCCCCAUAUCAGAUAGCUUCUUACUUGCACUGUAGGGAUGGAUCUCCUCUGUGUUUCAGGAGAGCAACAGCACAGCAGGGAAUCUGUAAGGAGUACACCCACAGGCAGAGGUGGAUGGAGGAGCAGCAGCAUCCUGCAGCCCCUGGUGCUGUAGCUGGGAAAUCCGGAGGCUGGAUCUGGCAGGAGGAAGGAAGGAAGCAGUUAACACAUGGAGACAAGAGGCUGCAAGCACCAGCUGCCCCCUUUCAGCUUACCUGUGCCCCUGCUGGUCCAGAAUGAAGGGUAUUGGACUGAAG
ensembl:lncRNA